rnacentral:rRNA from 1 species
GACGAACGCUGGCGGCGUGCUUAACACAUGCAAGUCGAACGCAAAGGCCCUGCUUUUGUGGGGUGCUCGAGUGGCGAACGGGUGAGUAACACGUGAGUAACCUGCCCUUGACUUUGGGAUAACUUCAGGAAACUGGGGCUAAUACCGGAUAGGAGCUCCUGCUGCAUGGUGGGGGUUGGAAAGUUUCGGCGGUUGGGGAUGGACUCGCGGCUUAUCAGCUUGUUGGUGGGGUAGUGGCUUACCAAGGCUGUGACGGGUAGCCGGCCUGAGAGGGUGACCGGCCACAUUGGGACUGAGAUACGGCCCAGACUCCUACGGGAGGCAGCAGUGGGGAAUAUUGCACAAUGGGCGGAAGCCUGAUGCAGCAACGCCGCGUGCGGGAUGACGGCCUUCGGGUUGUAAACCGCUUUCGCCUGUGACGAAGCGUGAGUGACGGUAAUGGGUAAAGAAGCACCGGCUAACUACGUG